rnacentral:rRNA from 1 species
CCAGCCACCGCGGUUACACGAUUAACCCUAGCUAAUAGAGAUCGGCGUAAAGGGUGUUUAAGAUCUAACAUAAUAAAGCUAAACUCCAUCUAAACUGUAAAACUCUAGCCAACGUAAAAUAAACUACGAAAGUGGCUUUAAGGCUUCUGAACACACAAUAGCCAAGACCCAAACUGGGAUUAGACACCCUACUAUGCUUGGCCCUAAACCUCAGUAGUUAGAUAACAAAACUACUCGCCAGAAUACUACAAGCAACAGCUUGAAACUCAAAGGACUUGACGGUGCUUUACAUCCCCCUAGAGGAGCCUGUUCUAUAAUCGAUAAACCCCGAUCCACCCCACCCUCUCUUGCUCAGCCUAUAUACCGCCAUCUUCAGCAAACCCUAAUGAAGGUCACAAAGUGAGCGCAAACGCCGCCACCGCCGCGAAUACGUUAGGUC